rnacentral:rRNA from 1 species
UACAGGGGGUGCAAACGUUGCUCGGAAUCAUUGGGCGUAAAGGGCGCGCAGGCGGCCGCUCAAGUCAGAUGUGAAAGCCCCGGGCUCAACCUGGGAACUGCAUUUGAUACUGAGUGGCUAGAGUUCGGGAGAGGAGAGUGGAAUUCCCAGUGUAGAGGUGAAAUUCGUAGAUAUUGGGAAGAACACCGGUGGCGAAGGCGGCUCUCUGGACCGAUACUGACGCUGAGGCGCGAAAGCGUGGGGAGCAAACAGG